UACAGAGGGGGCAAGCGUUGUUCGGAAUUACUGGGCGUAAAGGGCGCGUAGGCGGCCUUCUAAGUCGAACGUGAAAUCCCCGGGCUCAACCCGGGAACUGCGUCCGAUACUGGAAGGCUUGAAUCCGGGAGAGGGAUGCGGAAUUCCAGGUGUAGCGGUGAAAUGCUUAGAUAUGACAUAGAAUACCGAUAGCGAAGGCAGCUUACUACAUGUUAAUUGACGCUGAGGCACGAAAGCGUGGGGAGCAAACAGG
rnacentral:rRNA from 1 species